GUCUGAGUGGUGUCAAUUUAUUGUCUGUUGGCAUCCUUUACUUUAAUGCCUGCACCCCAGCAAACCACAGCAAAGUAGAUGAUGCUCGCAACAACAGACUGAGAGAACAUCUGGAGCAUCCUGUUACAUAUAUUAAAGGAUCUGAGCCUCCUCAAGGAGUAAAGCCGCCUCAGGCCCUUCUUGUAGAAGGCCUCUGUGUUUGUAGACCAUUUCAGUUUAUUGUCCAGGUAGAUGCCCAGAUAC